CGGAGGGUGCUAGCGUUGUUCGGAAUUACUGGGCGUAAAGGGCGCGUAGGCGGCCGUUUGCGUCGGAUGUGAAAGCCCGGGGCUCAACCUCGGAACGGCAUUCGAUACGGGACGGCUGGAGACCGGGAGAGGAGAGUGGAAUAGCCAGUGUAGAGGUGAAAUUCGUAGAUAUUGGCUGGAACACCGGUGGCGAAAAGCGGCUCUCUGGCCCGGUUCUGACGCUGAGGCGCGAAAGCGUGGGGAGCAAACAGGAUU
rnacentral:rRNA from 1 species